UACGGGGGGAGCAAGCGUUGUUCGGAUUUACUGGGCGGAAAGGGCGCGUAGGCGGCCAGCGCAAGUCAGUUGUGAAAUCUCCGAGCUUAACUCGGAAAGGUCAACUGAUACUGCGCGGCUAGAGUGCGGAAGGGGCAACUGGAAUUCUUGGUGUAGCGGUGAAAUGCGUAGAUAUCAAGAGGAACACCUGCGGCGAAGGCGGGUUGCUGGGCCGACACUGACGCUGAGGCGCGAAAGCCAGGGGAGCGAACGGG
rnacentral:rRNA from 1 species